rnacentral:lncRNA from 1 species
GGGCUUCUCAAUCUGCUUGUCUCUAGAUCAGGCUGUAAACAACCCUCAGAAAAUAGCUGUCAAUGGUGGUGAUAAAUUCCUGCAAAUCCCAGAGCCUGGUGACCCCUCUGCCAGGAGCCCUUUCUCUUUUUCCCUACAGCUCACAGUUUCCCUUCGAUAACCGUUUGCUGUAGUUCCUCCCGAUUCUCACUUUGAGCUGUGCUUCUCAAGAGAAAAUGUCAGUUAUCCCUGGAAACACGGUAAAGACCUGGGUCCUCAGACCUGCGGCACACCAGGCUGCACACCAGGCUGCACAUGCCUCCUCGCCCUCUCCACCCCUGACAAAAGCCAACGACUCUAAAGACUCAGGAAUUACGGCGAUGCCUUCAAAAUUAACGCUAUCUGU